UUUGUAUAAUCUUUUCAAUAGUUGCCUCAUUUUUGGCUACAAAAAUCGAUCAAUCACAAUCCAUUUCAAGAAUUCCACUUGAAAAAAAAAAUAUGUCAAAUUUUGAUAGAGGCAAAGAAUUGGUUGAGGGAUCAUCAAGAUCCCCGGGCGAUCAACCUGCUACGCCUAGUCGAUAUGAGUCUCAGAAACGUCGUGAUUGGAACACGUUUGGUCAGUACCUAAGGAAUCAAAGACCACCCGUUUCCAUGUCCCAAUGCAAUAGCAACCACGUGUUGGAGUUCCUUAGGUACCUUGACCAGUUUGGGAAGACUAAGGUUCACUUGCAAGGUUGUAUCUUUUAUGGUCAACCCGAGCCUCCGGCUCCCUGUACUUGUCCAUUAAGACAAGCCUGGGGGAGCCUGGAUGCUCUGAUCGGGCGGCUCAGAGCCGCCUAUGAAGAAAACGGUGGCUCCCCAGAGACGAACCCUUUCGCAAGCGGCGCGAUUAGGGUGUAUCUAAGGGAAGUGAAAGAGUGUCAAGCAAAAGCAAGAGGAAUUCCGUACAAAAAGAAAAAGAAGAAGGCUAGUGAGAGCAAAGGAGAUGAUGAUUGCACUUCUUCUCACCCAUUUUCUUGAUCCAAAAAAUGGAUCUAUGGAAGAUAGUAGACGAUACACAAACCUAUGAGAAAAGUGAUGAAUUGUGUCUUCAUGAGCAGGUUAUUGCUGAACACUUAAAGGGAUUUGCUAUAUAUAUAUAUAGCUCUGGAAGAAUUAUGUCUCAUAUUUAUCAAGUCACCAUUUGGUUUUUUAUUUUAUAUAUAUAUAAGUGCCUUGAUUUCCUUUUUUUCUGCUAAUUAAUUAAUUAGCAGUCAUGUUCAAUCAUAGGCCUUUUCUUUAAAUUACUUUUUAGUAAUUAAGUAUUCUACUGUUUUUUCCCUUAUAUUUCUCAGUUGUUUGUGAAUCCUAAAUUAGUUCUUGUAAGAUGAUUAUUAUAAACUCUUUUGUACAAUUAAGUGAUCAUUAAUUUGAAUCCAAACCCUACUGUACGUA